rnacentral:tRNA from 3 species
GGAGGGUUGGCAGAGCGGCCGAAUGCAGCGUCCUUAGAAGGCGUAGAUCCGCAAGGUUCCGAGGGUUCAAAUCCCUCACCCUGGG